rnacentral:lncRNA from 12 species
CUGGGGGCCGCCCCGGGAGGGUUCGGGGCGUUUCCAGGUGACGGCAGCUGAUUCCGGGGGGGUUUCUGCUUUCCUUUGGGGGCAGUUGGGUUAUUCCUUUGGGGACAGUUGGGUUAUUUCGGGCCUUUCUGGGGAGGUUUCGGUUACUCGAGGGCGUUUUUGGGCUGGGUUUGCAUCAAUCGAGGAUGUUUUCGGGGGGUUUGGGUUAUUUUAGGGCAUUUUUGGGGCGGUUUUGGGUUCAGGACCAUUUUUGGGGUGAUUUUGGGUUCUUUCACGGCAUUUUUGUGGGAAUUUUAGAUUGUUGAAGGGCGUUUUGGGACGGUCUUGGGUUCUCUUUGGGCGUUUUUGGGUUAUUUUAAGGCUUUUUUGGGGAGUUUUGGGUUCAAGGACAUUUCUCGGAUGGUUUUGGGUUCUUUUUAGGCUUUUUUGGGGUGAUUUUAGGUCAACUGAGUCCACUUUUGGAGUGGUUUUGGGUUAUUCCAGGCCAUUUUUGGUGAAAUUUUGGGUUGUUUGAGGGCGAUUUUGGGGGGGGCUUGGGUUCAAGCCCAUUUUUCAAGUGGAUUUGGGCCAGUUGAGGUUUUUGGGAUGGAUUUGGGUUAUCCAAGGGCGUUUUUGGGGAUGCUUUGGCUUCUUUUAGGGCAUUUGUGGGGUGGAUUUGGAUCAUUUCAGGGCGUUUUCAGGUGAUUUUGGGUUCAAGGCAAGUUUUGGGUUGGUUUUGGGCUCUUUUCAGGCAUUUUUGGGGAGGUUUUGGGUUCUUUAAGGCCGUGUUUGGGGUGCUAAAGGGCGUUUUUGGGAUAUUUUAGGGUGUUUUGGGGUGGUUUUGGGUUCAGUGCCAUUUUGCAGGUGGAUUUGGGUCAAUUAACGGCAUUUUUGGGGUGGUUUCUUGUUCGAGGUAAUUUUUGGGGUGGAUUUGGGUUCGGGGCCAAUUUUGGGGUGGUUUUUGGUUGUUCAGGCCAAUUUUUGGUGAGGUUUGGGGUUCUUCUAGAGCGUUUUUGGGGAGAUUUUGGGUUGAGCAAAAGAAUUUUUGGGGUGGUUUUCAUUUCCUCGAGACUAUUUUUGGGGUGGUUUUGGGUUCAAGGGCAUUUUUGGGGUGGGUUUGGGUCAUUUGAGGGUGUUUUUGGGGUGAUUCUGGGUUCCUUUAGGGAAUUUUUGGGGUGGUUUUUGGUGUUUAUGGGUAGUCCUGGGGUAUUAUUGGGGUGAUCUGGGGGAUUUUGGGGCAGUUUUGGUUUUUUUUGAGGUGGUUUUGGGGGUUUCUGGGGUCUUUUUGUGGGUUUUUUGAUGGUUUGGGUUUUUUGAGGUGGUUUUGGGGUUUUUUUGGGAGUUUUAGGAUUUUUUUGGUGGUUUUGGGGUUUUUUGGGUGGUUUGGAGUAUUUUGGGGGUGGUUUUGUGUUUUGAGGUGGUUUUGGGGUUUUUUGGGGAGUUUUAGGAUUUUUUUGGUGGUUUUGGGGUUUUUUGGGUGGUUUGGAGUAUUUUGGGGGUGGUUUUGUGUUUUAUUCUUUUUUUUUGUGGUUUGUUGGACUUUUUUGGGGGGUUUUUGU